rnacentral:lncRNA from 1 species
GUUUAGGGUUAGAGAUAGGGUUAGGGUUAGUGUUAGGGUUUGGGUUAGGGUUAGAAUUAUUAUUAGUGUUAUUUUUGGGGAUAGGGUUACGGUUAGCAUUAGCGUUAGAUUUAGGUUUUGGGUAGGGGUUAAUGUUAGGUUUAGUGUUAGGGUUAGGGUUUGGGUUAGGGUUAGGAUUAGGGUUACGUUUGGAUUAAGUUAAUUAAGUUAGGGUUAGGAUUACAGUUAGUGUCAGGGUUAAGGGUAGGGUUAGGUUUAGUGUUAGGAUUAGGGUUAGGAUUAGGUUUAGUGUUAGUGUUAGAUUUAGGGUUAGGUUUAGGGUUAGUGUUAAAGUUAGUGUUAGUGUUAGGUUUAGGGUUAGGGUUAUGGUUAGUGUUAAUGAUAGGGUUAGGGUUAGGUUUAGGGUUAGUUUUAGGUAAGGGUUAGGGUUAGUGUUUGGGUACAGUUUUGAGUUAUUUUCAGGUUUAAUUUUAGAAUUAGGGUGAGGUUCAGGGAUAGGGAUUGGGUUAGGGUUAGUUUAAGAGUUAGGAUUAGGGUUAGUGUUAGGGUUAGGUUUAGGAUUAGGGUUGGUGUUAUGUUGAAGUUUCGGGUUAGGGUUUGUGUUAGUGUUAGAGUUAGGGUUACGUUUGGAUUAGUUUUAGAGUUAAUGUUAAGGUUAGAGUUAGGGUUAGUGAUGAAGUUAAGAAUAGGUUUAGG